UGGGGAAUAUUGGACAAUGGGGGAAACCCUGAUCCAGCAAUGCCGCGUGAGUGAAGAAGGCCUUAGGGUUGUAAAGCUCUUUCGCCCGCGAAGAUAAUGACGGUAGCGGGAGAAGAAGCCCCGGCUAACUCCGUGCCAGCAGCCGCGGUAAUACGGAGGGGGCUAGCGUUGUUCGGAAUUACUGGGCGUAAAGCGUACGUAGGCGGAUGCGCAAGUUGGGGGUGAAAUCCCGGGGCUUAACCUCGGAAUUGCCCUCAAAACUGCACGUCUUGAGACCGAGAGAGGUAAGGGGAAUUCCUAGUGUAGAGGUGAAAUUCGUAGAUAUUAGGAAGAACACCAGUGGCGAAGGCGCCUUACUGGCUCGGUACUGACGCUGAGGUACGAAAGCGUGGGGAGCAAACAG
rnacentral:rRNA from 1 species